GGGUCCGUAGGCGGGCCGAUAAGUCAGGGGUGAAAGUCUGCCGCUCAACGGUAGAACUGCCUUUGAUACUGUCGGUCUUGAGUUAUAGUGAAGUUGCCGGAAUAUGUAGUGUAGCGGUGAAAUGCAUAGAUAUUACAUAGAACACCGAUUGCGAAGGCAGGUGACUAACUAUAUACUGACGCUGAUGGACGAAAGCGUGGGGAGCGAACAGGAUUAGAUACCCUGGUAGUCCACGCCGUAAACGAUGGAUACUAGCUGUCCGGAACCUUGAGUUCUGGGCGGCCAAGCGAAAGUGAUAAGUAUCCCACCUGGGGAGUACGUUCGCAAGAAUGAAACUCAAAGGAAUUGACGGGGGCCCGCACAAGCGGUGGAGCAUGUGGUUUAAUUCGAUGAUACGCGAGGAACCUUACCACGGCUUAAAUGCAUAUUGACAGGGUCAGAGAUGACUUUUCCUUCGGGCAAUUUGCAAGGUGCUGCAUGGUUGUCGUCAGCUCGUGCCGUGAGGUGUCAGGUUAAGUCCUAUAACGAGCGCAACCCCUACCGUUAGUUGCCAGCAUGUCAUGAU
rnacentral:rRNA from 1 species